rnacentral:rRNA from 1 species
UCGCACGAGAAAGUGGAGCGAUCCAUGAGUACAGUGGCGCACGGGUGAGUAACACGUGAAUGAUCUACCUCCGAGUAGGGAAUAACUGAGAGAAAUCUUAGCUAAUACCGCAUAAUACCCACGGGUCAAAGCAGCAAUGCGCUUGGAGAGGAGUUCGCGGCCGAUUAGCUAGUUGGCGGGGUAAUGGCCCACCAAGGCGAUGAUCGGUAUCCGGCCUGAGAGGGCGCACGGACACACUGGAACUGAAACACGGUCCAGACUCCUACGGGAGGCAGCAGUGGGGAAUUUUGCGCAAUGGGGGAAACCCUGACGCAGCAACGCCGCGUGGAGGAUGAAAUCCCUUGGGAUGUAAACUCCUUUCGAUAGGGAAGAUAAUGACGGUGCCUAUAGAAGAAGCCCCGGCUAACUUCGUGCCAGCAGCCGCGGUAAUACGAGGGGGGCAAGCGUUGUUCGGAAUUAUUGGGCGUAAAGGGUGCGUAGGCGGUUUGGCAAGUCUUAUGUGAAAUCUAUGGGCUCAACUCAUAGUCUGCAUGAGAAACUGCCGGGCUUGAGUAUGGGAGAGGUGAGUGGAAUUUCCGGUGUAGCGGUGAAAUGCGUANAUAUCGGAAGGAACACCUGUGGCGAAAGCGGCUCACUGGACCAUAACUGACGCUGAUG